CCUACGGGUGGCAGCAGUGGGGAAUAUUGCACAAUGGGGGAAACCCUGAUGCAGCGACGCCGCGUGAGUGAAGAAGUAUUUCGGUAUGUAAAGCUCUAUCAGCAGGGAAGAAAAUGACGGUACCUGACUAAGAAGCCCCGGCUAACUACGUGCCAGCAGCCGCGGUAAUACGUAGGGGGCAAGCGUUAUCCGGAUUUACUGGGUGUAAAGGGAGCGUAGACGGCCAGGCAAGUCAGAAGUGAAAUCCCAUGGCUCAACCCUGGGACUGCUUUUGAAACUGUGGGGCUGGAGUGCAGGAGAGGUAAGCGGAAUUCCUAGUGUAGCGGUGAAAUGCGUAGAUAUUAGGAGGAACACCAGUGGCGAAGGCGGCUUACUGGACUGUAACUGACGUUGAGGCUCGAAAGCGUGGGGAGCAAACAGGAUUAGAUACCCGUGUAGUC
rnacentral:rRNA from 1 species